rnacentral:rRNA from 1 species
GGUUGCGAUCAUACCAGCACUAAUGCACCGGAUCCCAUCAGAACUACGCAGUUAAGCGUGCUCGGGCGAGAGUAGUACUAGGAUGGGUGACCCCCUGGGAAGUCCUCGUGUUGCAACCCC